UCUCAGCAAGUUCGCCAGCAACCUUGCAUCCUCAGCAUGGAAGUGGGGUUCUUUGAAGAGCCAGGCCUGUCCAAGGAAGCUAGAGCGGGGGCUGUUCUCCCCAUCUGGUGAUGCAAGAUAAGUUCUGUGAAAUUGUCAUCUGCAGUGAAUUGAGAUGGAAUUUGCUGGAAGGAGAUGCAUCCUGCUAAUGUAAGAGCGCCGGCACUUUAGAGAUAUGGCAGCAACAGACCAGAGUUGAUUAGUUAACUGAAACUGACCCCAAAGAAGAUGACAGGCUCAAGCCAGCUGAUCAUAAACUUGGAACACAGUGUGAAGGCCAGAAGAUUUCAUGGCGCCAUUUAAGUGCUUUCAUCUCCUGCAGAUCAUGAAGACUGUCAGAUCUAGGUCCUGACUGAGUGUUGGAGGAAGGAAGGAGGUUGAAGUCACAGCCCUGCAGGGUCUCUAUGGGGCAGUAAAGACCCUGAUAAGGAGUGGGACCUGGCAGCCAAGCAGGGAGCUGGGGGUGAUAUGCCUGAGAGUGUUCAACCCCCAGAUUCCCAAGAAUCUCUUGGCUGGCAGAAGUAGCCCCUUCCCACCCACUAGAUAGGAGCAGCUUCUCCCCACCCAGGAGUCACGAAAAGCUCUCCCUGAGCCAGGUCCCCCAGACAAAGUUGCUGCCCUGAAGAGCCAAUCCUGCCUCUCCUCUUUGCUACCAAUAAUUAUGGCCAAGUUGAAGAAAGGCUUGGGUAGGGAAGGAGUGUUCCUGCUGUAGGAAGAAAGGGGUCAUUCACCACGACAGCCCAGGGCCUGGCUAAUGAGAGCUCCUGGAUGGGGUGGAUGCUCGGAGGAUAGAGGCAGGGCAGGCAGGGAUGGAAGAUAAGCAGGGGGGCAGAGCUAUUGACAUGGGGCACUCUCUCACAGCUCAGGUGAGGUCCUGGAGGACACACCCUCUACUCGGGUACUAUGGAGUCCUCUAGUUAGGGAGACACCUGCUUCUCUGGUAGGCUCUGUGGUGGCUGUCUUAGGGAGGUCAAUAUUGCAUGUAGGAGAUGUUGCCUUUGAAUUGGGCUCAGAGACAAUGGGGAUUGUGCUAUUGGAAUAACAAAGGCUACAUGGAGGCCCUGGACCAGCACAGGAAAGGCAGAAGUAAUUGUCAUGAUUCAUAAUGGGAAAUGAGGCAGAAAGACAAGCUGGAGGUCUGACCUUCAGGGACCCCUGGUGAUGGCUAAUAGCUAAGGUGUGCCAGGGUGAGAUCAUGGGCAACCAGUGAGGGUAUUACCUUAUACAAACAACCAAGAAGAUCACGAUCAAACGAGCAGAAACCAGGCACCACUCACUGCAAUGGAAACCUGCAAUCCCUCGCCCAGUGCUAGAUGAAUCCGUUCCACGGUCCGGGGUUCACGGGUUGAAAGGAAGGAGACCCUUGAGGAAGGGUCCUGCAACACACCACACCACACACACGUGGCAGCUCUUCCUCAACUCCUUCCAGAGAAGCUGGCCAUUCCCUCAGUAAUGCCACACUCAGGAAAGGAGAGAGGAUCUCUUAAGGCUGUUGGACGUAGGGUCUGAGUGGAUAGGGGUGGUGAGGCCAAUACACCCUCAGGAACCCAACAUUAUGGAGCACACAGAAUCACUUGUCAUCAGGUCCCAAUCAGUCUCAUAGUGGUCCAGCGGUCAUGCCCUGGGCCACUGUCUACUGGGGCAGACCAGCUCCCCACAAGAGGAAGGGGAGAGAAGAUACCUGAGGUGUGCACAGAGCAGCUGCGGGCAUCUGUGUUGUGCAGGGUCUCCCCACGGCCACCCACGCCACCCACAAGGAAUCGCUGAAUACAGAGCAGCAGAAAGGCACCACAGCCCUGAGCCUGUGCAGAGGAGGGCACAGUGAGCAGCUGGAGAAACUCACUUUUCUGGCAAAGUGCAGAGGCCCUUGUCCUGGACCUACUGAAUGAGAAUCCUCAUUGAGCAUGGUAGUCUCAGGUGACUUGUGCGCGUAGAAGGGUGAGAUACAUGGCUUCAGGACUUUCUGGACCUUUUGGGAUAACAUUUUGAGAGCAGUUUCACUUUAAAAUAAGUGGACCUGUGACUCUCUAACCUGGCCAACACCAGCCCCAUCUCUACCAGCACUGUCACCAAAGAGUGGCCAUUGCCCUCCAGCAGGGCCACUAAGAGAGCCACCUCACCAGGCACCAUUUCCUAUGACAAGCACACAGCUGACCCUAUUCCCACAACUAUUUUUCAAAGUGAUCAGAUUAGGGGGUAGGUCCUGCUGCGCCUCCCCAGGCCCCGCACUCAUGGCAUUUUGGACCUCCUCUGCGGCUGUCUGGACUGCUGUUGGUCCCUCUCCUCACUCACCAGCCCCAUUGGCAGGUUCUGCCUGCCCCGCCCUCCAUCUCCGCCCUGUACUGAGGUUUUCUGCCGUGGUCAGAGCAGCCAAAGACAACAGUGCUUCAACUGGCAGGAAACAGUCUUCACACUCUCAGGAUUUCCUAUUAUGGGAUGUACAGGCUUUUCCAGAAACACAAUUGCACCUAAAAGUAGAAACUGCCUGGAUUUUCCUUCAUCUCAGCACAAUAACUCUGGGGCCACUGCCGUUGGCCUUGAACGAGAGCCAGGCCCUUUGAUACACGAGGCUGUCAGCGGAGGUUACAUCCAGAGAAAGCCCAACCUGGAAAUGCAGGCCUGGGUUAGCUGUGGGGCUGAUCCCAGAGAGUGUCCAGCGGUGAGGCCAGGAGGACACAACCUGAAGAACAUGGUCAGUGACCUGGAAAUUGAGAAGACAACAUAGAAGUGACAAGAAGCCAGGAGGCCUGAAGGUGUCCAAAGAGGCAGGUGAGCCCUGCUGGUCCCGGCACAGGGUCGGGUUAAGCAGCCUCACGCGCUAAUCCCAGCUGUCCCUUACCAGCUGGCAGGCCUGGAGUGCCUACCUCUCCUCUAGGGCUCCCUUCUCUGUCCACAGAACUGACCACCACUCAUUGCAGGGGUGUCUUCGAGGUCAGCUGAGAGGGAUGGAAAGCAGCACUUGUGCCCUCGGUUGAGGGGUCGUGUGGGUGGAAGAGGCCUCGGGAGGGACAAGACAACAGCUUCACCGGAGCCAAGCAGGGACCAGGAAGAAAGGGCGCAGCAGGGCCGCAGCGGAGCUCAGACCAGACCUGGAGCAGGGAGGACCAGGACUUGAAGGCCCACCUUGGUGAGAAGAGGCACGUCUUGUCAGUGGAGUGGACGCACUGUGCUCUGCUGUCCAGGAGGGGACAUGGGGACCCACUCCUUCCAGAAGCUAAUGGAAGAGCUAGAGUAUCACCCUCUGCAGCCCCCAGGAAGGAGUGGACCCACCACUGACCAUCCCGCCAGUUAUCCAGCGGGCAAUGCACUGUCUCAGCCCAGGUUCACCUUCCAGUACUUGCUCUGAGAUGGAGACACGGUGUCUAGCUUCAUCAGCAGAGGGUGCCAGGGAUGUGGCAGGAAGAUUGGGGCUUUGGUUCUGUUCUGGGCAUGCAGCCUGGGAGCGUCCAGUGAAGCUCCACCCCACCAUACAUCCAGAAGGCGCAGUUGCUCUGCGACCCCAGGCCCAGCCUGAACCAGGGCCCAGCGUGCCUCAGCCCUGCCUCAUGGACACUGCACUGUGGCCUCCCUCACAGUGUAUCCCCACCUGCUUCUGGCCUCUCCUUCCAGCACCAGCUGGCUCUCCUGCACCAGGACUUGGCUUCCCCCGGCCGCUCCUGUGCACACGUAGGAUUCCCCCAAUAUUGUCAGGUAAUUAUAAAAUUUUUAAAAAAUGUAAAACAUGCAUUGCCAAAACUCCAAUAAUUCAGUUUCUAAAUAUCCAGUUUAGAGAAAUUAUCCAGUAAGUGAGCAAAAAUGGGAGUUUUCUGCAGUGUUUUUUUGCAACAGCAAAACCCCUAGAAGCAAACUACAUGUUCAACAGAGAGAAAGUGGUUAACAAAAAGAAGCAAACAAAACUUGGUGUAUCUGCUGGGUAGCAGUUAAAGCCCAUGGGUCAGAGCAGCAAAGAACUUCAACACACAUUAUUUAGUGGAGCAAGCAGAGUCAUGUGUUUCAUUUGAUCCCAUUUCCGAAAAAAACAAAAUGAAAUAAAGCUAGUAGAAUAACCUCACCCCCAAAAUGAUUUUUGUAACUGUUGACAUAUGCACAUGAUUUUCUAUAUAUUUCUGCUUUGUUGAUUUUUCAUAAUAUGCUCCCUGUGCUUUUCAAUUUGCUUUUAUUUUACAUUACAAGUGUUUAUUGAGUUUUACAAAAAAACAAAUUUCCAGUGACCUGAGUGAGACCAGUUUCUGAGGCAUGCAGUGGACUGGGAGCCUCCUCAGAGAUCAUGUCCAGUGCUGAGGCAGCCCCACUCAAGGACCCUGGCCCCACUAGAGCAUAGAUAACCAGCCAAGUUUCAAGAGAGAAAACUCCAGUCCCUGUUUCCUGUGUCCAAGGGUUUCCUCAGAUGUGUCUCGUCAUUGGACUUUAGGGCCAGAGGGUCCUCAGAGACCAGCUGAGUCAGUCGCUGACUUUUAAGGCUGAACAAGCUGAGGCUCUGAGGAGCCAGGGGAGGGACUUUAGAUCUUCAGAAUGUUGGACAUUUUUAUUAAAAGGGUUUCUUGCUGAGUUCUAAGAGGGCAGCAGGACAGUGUGCCCAGGACACCUCUGAAAGCCUGGGAGCCCAGAGGAAGCACCUAGGGAACCAUGUUCAGAACAGACCCCAGCUUGGCAUUCUUGUGACGCUGCUCAGGCCCUGCCGGGGUGCCUGGCAUCCAACCUACAGUGCCCCCAGGCUCUGGAGAGCCAGCACAGGCUUGGGCUUGUCCUUGGAAAGACAGCACAUGCUCCUCUGCACCAGGGGACUGUUCCAUCCAGGGUCACUGUGCAGAAAGACCCAUAAGGUUGACCUCUUUCCUGCCCUGGCAGGCUGCUGUUAAUGGUCAGCUGGCUCCCAGCUCACACUUCUGGGAAGCCUUUAGUUUGUUGGGAAGUACUGGGAAUUGAAACUGGGCCCCACCCCCCUACCACAGAGCUCCAUCCCAGGCUAUCUUAUUUUAUUUUUUUAAUUUUGAGACAGGGUCUCACCAAGUUGCCAUAAUGACAAUGGACUUGGGAUCCUCCUGCCUUGGCCUCCCAAGGAGCUGGAAUUCUAGGUGUGGGCCACCAUGCCAGCUUCAUAAAAUCUCCUUAGAAAGAAAAUUUCAGGAAGCUGGCUCGUUUGGGAUCUGAGGAACAAAGAGAGGAUAGGGCAUCAGGACGCCCAGAUUCCAUUCUCUGGACUGUCGUUAGAUAACAGUACUCUAGGACAGAUGGACAUGUUGGAAUCCCUGGUUCUGCCUCUGCUGUGGUCUGAGGGGUGAAAAGAAGGGGGGAGGGCACUCAGACCAGCCCUGGUGGUUCUACAGUGCAGAAAGCCUCCUGUGAGCAUUCCAGUCUGUUUUAUUUUAACUAAUACUGUAAUUGUACAGAGUUUUUUAUAAUGUAGGGUAAAUUACAUAUUUUUACAGUGUGAUUAUAUAAAAGGAACAGAAAAAAAAGUGAUCAAAAGAAAGUUCCCUGUAUUCCUAUCAUUCAGAUUCAACAUUUGACACCUGGUUCUACUUCCUUGAUGGUUUGAUGUAAAUAUUUUCUUCAAUAAGUAAUAGAUUUGCUUGUUUUGGGCUCAUAUCCAAGAAAAUAAUUAAUAAACUGGGAGAAAGGGAAUAAGUUAAA